UACGUAGGGUGCGAGCGUUGUCCGGAAUUACUGGGCGUAAAGAGCUCGUAGGUGGUUUGUCGCGUUGUUCGUGAAAACUCACAACUCAAUUGUGGGCGUGCGGGCGAUACGGGCAGACUGGAGUACUGCAGGGGAGACUGGAAUUCUUGGUGUAGCGGUGAAAUGCGUAGAUAUCAAGAGGAACACCUGCGGCGAAGGCGGGUUGCUGGGCCGACACUGACGCUGAUGCGCGAAAGCCAGGGGAGCGAACGGG
rnacentral:rRNA from 1 species